UACGUAGGGUGCAAGCGUUGUCCGGAAUUAUUGGGCGUAAAGAGCUCGUAGGCGGUGUGUCACGUCGGCCGUGAAAACCUGGGGCUUAACUCUGGGCGUGCGGUCGAUACGGGCAUCACUAGAGUUCGGCAGGGGAGACUGGAAUUCCUGGUGUAGCGGUGAAAUGACGCAGAUAUCAGGAGGAACACCGGUGGCGAAGGCGGGUCUCUGGGCCGAUACUGACGCUGAGGAGCGAAAGCAUGGGUAGCGAACAGG
rnacentral:rRNA from 1 species